AUUGAACGCUGGCGGCAGGCCUAACACAUGCAAGUCGAGCGGAUGAAGGGAGCUUGCUCCUGGAUUCAGCGGCGGACGGGUGAGUAAUGCCUAGGAAUCUGCCUGGUAGUUGGGGAUAACGUCCGGAAACGGGCGCUAAUACCGCAUACGUCCUGAGGGAGAAAGUGGGGGAUCUUCGGACCUCACGCUAUCAGAUGAGCCUAGGUCGGAUUAGCUAGUUGGUUAGGUAAAGGCCUACCAAGGCGACGAUCCGUAACUGGUCUGAGAGGAUGAUCAGUCACACUGGAACUGAGACACGGUCCAGACUCCUACGGGAGGCAGCAGUGGGGAAUAUUGGACAAUGGGCGAAAGCCUGAUCCAGCCAUGCCGCGUGUGUGAAGAAGGUCUUCGGAUUGUAAAGCACUUUAAGUUGGGAGGAAGGACAGUAAGUUAAUACCUUGCUGUUUUGACGUUACCAACAGAAUAAGCACCGGCUAACUUCGUG
rnacentral:rRNA from 1 species